rnacentral:rRNA from 1 species
AAUGAACGUUGACAGCGUGGAUUAGGCAUGCAAGUCGAGCGACAAGGGGCUUCGGCCCUGGAGGAGCGGCAAACGGGGUAGUAAGGCAUUGGAACGUACCCUCUGGUCCGGGAUAGCCUCGGGAAACUGAGAGUAAUACCGGAUGAACUCUACGGAGCAAAGGUCCGCCGCCGGGGGAGCGGCCAAUGUGAUAUCAGCUAGUUGGUAGGGUAACGGCCUACCAAGGCUUGGACGUCUAGGGGGUGUGAGAGCACGACCCCCACCACUGGGACUGAGACACUGCCCAGACACCUACGGGUGGCUGCAGUCGAGGAUCUUCGGCAAUGGGCGCAAGCCUGACCGAGCGACGCUGCGUGCGGGAUGAAGGCCUUUGGGUUGUAAACCGCUGUCAGAGGGGAUGAAAGCGAAAGCUUGACAGAGCCUCAGAGGAAGCGCGGGCUAAGUUCGUGCCAGCAGCCGCGGUAAU